GGUUUUUAUGGUGAGGCUCUUAGCGGAAUAUAAGAAACGUCUUUUAAUUUUUAACUAAAAAAGUUAAAAAUCGACUUUUAAAUAUCUUAUUUGUUAAGAGAAUGUGCUGUGAUAUUUCCUAGCCUCCUCCUACCUUUAUCAUCUACCAUCGUACUCAUCUUCACCUUCAGAAUCUACAAAAAAAAAAAGACAACACUGAAUAUCUCUUCUUGGUCUGGAUGAUGAAGAAAAACUAUAGUCUUAUCAUUUAUAAACUAAGCUUACUGAAUCUGACAUCUUUACUAAGCUUGCCUCUAUCUUGUAUUUGUCUCACAAGCAUUCUAUACAUCAAAACCCACCAAUAUAUAUGUAGUAGUAAAUUGGUCCUUCAACCGGAUGCUUGUCCUUAUAUCCAGUUCUAAAACUACUUCAUAGCUGCAAAUCUGCAAUAAAACAUGUAUUAUAAGGAGAGAAAAAAACUGUAAAGGAAUAUUGGCUAUAUAGAAACCUUGUGGUCCAUAGUAUUAGAAAACAAGCCCAAGUCAGGCCCAAGAUCCAUUUAUGUUAGGGUUUCCAGCAAUCUAGAAUCUUAUAUAUAUUGUUAUGAACUCUUGUGUAAGGAACUUUGGUUGCCAUAGUUGCAGCCACAUUAAACCUUUUUUAUGAUAUCAAUCAAUCUUGUUAACUCUUGGUGACAACUCUCAAGCUUCCUCUCUUUAGUUUCUUUAUCAUUCAAUAAAGCUCUAUGAGCUAUUAGGCUUUCAAUAAGCUCUUUAGAGCAUAAAUCUAUUUUAUCUUCAAAUGUUAACAUGAUAUCAGAGCUUCAAUCGAUUCAUGGGUCUUAUAUUUUUUUUUCUAGAGCUUCCGCCUAGGAUCCAAAAGCAAAUGAGACGGAGAAAUAUCCAAGACAACACGAAAAGAAUGAAUGAAAAACUUGCAAUUCCUUCAGCUCCAUUAUAUUUAGACAUUUUCCCCACUUCAAUAGUCCAGUUAUGUUUGAUCUUUGAUAUCGAGUUUUAUUAAGCUUAUGAAUGGGCAAAAAAAUUAAAAUUAUUAAGCUUAUGAAUGGGCAAAAAAAUUAAAACAGUUUUACGUAUUAUUGUAGUUUGUUUUAUCUAUCUUCUGUCACUCAACAAAUUUGUAUAGAUAAAUUAAUGAUUAGUUUCUUUUCGAGUAAUGAUUUGCUUUUUUUUUUCUUAACUGAUUUAGUUAUGUUAAUUGCAAACAUGAUUGUAUAAUUAUUACAUGGUUAUAGAGUACUCCCUCCGUUUUUUAAUAUAAGCCGUUUUAAAGAUAUACACAUAGAUUAAGAAAAUUAUUAAUUUCUUAUAUUUUUGAAAUAAAAACAUUAUUAAUUAUUUAUCUAACCACAAUUCAAUCAAUAAUAAAAUAGAAGAUAUAUUAUCAUUGGUCAGAUAACAUUAAUUAUUAAUAAAUGUUACAUAGAAAACCGAAAACGACAUAUAAUUUGAAACAAAAUUUUUUCACUAAAACGACUUAUAUUGAAAAAUGGAGAGAGUAUUGAAACUUAUAAGUAGACAAGAAAAAGAUGAUGAUGAAUAAAAUAUUUGAAUCUUAAUUGAUUUGUCUCAUUAUUGUGUUUCCCACUCAUUAAAGCUUUGUCAACACAUGUUUGCUCGUCGGUGAUUAUACUACUUAAGCCUUCUUUUCUCAUUUUCUUCUUUGGGUUUAAGCUUUAAAGCUAUGCUAUUAUUUGUUAGUAUAGUUUUCUCUAUACUUAUGUCCAACUUCGUACUUUCAAAACAAGUCCAUGAUGUUUCGGUAUAUUGAAGGUCACAUUGACACAAGCAGAGGUGACGUUUCCAAGGAGAAUUGAAAGCGUUGACCCCAAGAUGCCAAAGUUUGACUUCCCUUUCUCUCUCUAUUUCUGCUUCAUCGACCUUUCCUUGUUUUUCAGAAAAAGCCCAUUUCUCUAUACAGCAUUUAUGAUUUCAAUAGUAGACAGAUUGUAUUACUCCCGCACUGGAAUCUAUCCAGCCGCAUCUUUAUUAUUUAAUUAUAAAAUAAAGUCAAAUAUCUCCGUAUAUCUAAUAAUUUAUGUACAUGAUGGAAGUGAAAAGAACAUUUUAAAGUCUUCAUAUCAAAGAGAGAAGAAGAGGAAGACAAAAAGAAAUGAUGAAGACUAAGAGUAAAGCGUUGAUCAUCUUCUUCACUCUAGUUCUGCUUCUAAGCAUGGCCUCAAGUGUUCUUCCAAGAGAAGAUGGUUUUGCUCCUCCUAAACCAUCUCCCUCUUCCACUCAAGAGAAAGAAAGAAGUAGAAAAGGUGAUGGAGAUGGAGUAGAUCAGUGCAAGAGUUCGGACAGUGAAGAAGAAUGUCUUGUUAAGAAGACCGUAGCUGCUCACACCGAUUACAUCUAUACACAAGACUUAAAGUCAUCUCCUUGAAACAAGAACAAUAACUCUGUCUUUUAUAUAGUACAAGCUAUAAGCAUAAGCAAACUCUCCUUGACCAUUUGCUCAUGACUUCAUCAUGUUCUUUGUUAUUUUAUUCUAAUCUUUGUUUGAUUUCUGUUAAUGUCAACUUAUAUUUAUCCUUCAAUACCAACUCUAUAUAUUUUAACUAGGGUCGCCCCGCCCUACGGGCGGGAUAUACUAUACUUCUACGUAGAUAUUGUAAACCUUUAUCAAUGUUGCUAUUAUGAAAAUAGUUUUCUAACCCUCAGAUGUAGUGUGCCUUAAUGUCCCUUGCUAAAUAUUUUAAAAUUAAAUCGUAGUAUUUGUGGAACGAUGUUAAAAAAGAUAGUGAAAAAAUUUUAAUUGAAAUUCAUGUAAAUUUGUUAGUUUGGCACUGCCUUAUUGAUCUUUUUUAUUUUUUUAUUAUGUUUUUUUUUAAGUUUUAUUGACAUGACUCGAACAAUUUUUUUGUUCUUUAAUUUCUUCUACCCCAAUCUUUUUUGUUAACUAUCUCCAUGUUUCUUGUGUUUCUGAUUCAUCAGAUGAUUAAUUAGGCUUACGACAUGCUCUAUUUUUACAAACUUUUAGAAGUUCCACACUUCGUAUGUAUAUAAUUUAAAAUAAUAUUUUUCGAUAACAACACAAUAUAUAUAUAUAUAUAAUAAAUCUUAAAAAUAAAACAUAUUUUAAAAAUAAGAUAAUUUAUUAUAUAUAUUGUGUUGUUAUCGAGAAAUAAUAUUUUAAAAAUUAAAAUGUAAAAAACUUUGAUUAAAAUUAAUUGAGUAAAAACAUUUGAAUCAGGAUAUUUUAUAAAAUAUUUUUAACAUAUGAGUGUUUAAAAUUUUAUACAAUAAUAAAAAUCUAAAUUGACGACUAAAAAAAAAAUCUAAAUUAAUUGAAUUUUUCCAUAUAUUAUCAUACAGGCUUUUGAAUUAAUAAAUUAUAAAUUAAUAAGCAUUCGUAAAAAAAUUAUAUUAAAAAAUUAUGCUCGCAUGUGUAGGCAAAAUACCUAUUAUAAUUUGUUUGUUAGUAGCAUAUGACACAUCUGUGUGAUUUUAUUUUAUUUAAACCCAAUUCUAUACUUUUUUAUUUAAUCAAAUUCAAAUGUAAUCUAAAUAAGUAGUUAAUUACAAACACAAUUCGAUAGGAAACAAAUUUCUGGGAAUAAAAUUGUUGAUUAGCAUUAAUUGGGUAUAUUGUAAGUCUACGUUAGGCAUAAAAAAGGAGAAUUCAAAAUCAAAAAUGCUGAACUCAGCAAAUUACAAAUUAAAAUUUUGGUUUAGCACGUGAAGUCUACUAACUCACGUUACGGUCUCAUUAAUUAAAUUAGAUUUCCUAGUUAAAUACUAAUAAACUGAAAACCCUAAUUUCAUUUUUCUUCUCCUCUGACGGCGUUUUAUCUAUUCUUUCUUAUCUCAUUUUAUCAGAGGUAGUUCCCCCUCUCUAGUAUCUUGCGAUGCCAAAGACACCAAGCAAGUCUUCUUGUGCUUAAAGUUUUAACGGAGAUAUGUGGUUUCAUGAUGACGUUCCGCAUCAUGCCGAUUGGUGUAAAUUUCUCGCUCUCUGUUUUUGGUGAAGCCCACAGAACCUCUCUUUCUCUUUCUGUAUGAAUCUUUUGGUGGGCUCCUCGUCGGUGAUACACGGGGUGGUCUCUCCUCGGUGGUUCAGACAGAGCGGCAAGGCAGUGUCGGCUAGGUCUCCUCUGUUCUUCAUCUUUGCUUCACAGACCAGUCGUCGGUGCUCCUCAAAUUAAAAGUGUAAAUCAUCAUGUCGCCUCUUCUACUCCUAUGCUCUUCAAUCUUGCUGCUUUUUUUUUGAGCAACAGUCGUCGUCUAUUCAUUAAACUAAUUUGGACGUUUGUUUCAUCUGUUAUAAGUGUCAUUGCCCAACUCUAAAAAGACUACCGUUGGUGCUUAAGGCCCAGAAUAGCCCACUUACACAAAUAUUUCCGUUUUAAAUUUCGUCGAGCAACUUAUUACAUUACUGAAACGCAUCUUUUUUUGUUGAAGGACAGGUGUCGCUCUCAGGAUGCACGAAUUGAUGACGUGGCAUCACAGGAGAGAGGCAAACAUAUUUAUAUAUAUAUAGAUAUUUGUGAAUUUUAAUUUGGCAAGACAACAUCAAGUUUAAUUGGGCUAGAUGACCAACAAAAAAAGUUUAAGUGGGCUGUUUGGAAAAUAAAUUAACUGGGUUUAUAGCCUUGCGUGACAGGCUCAAAUGCAGGCUUUAUUGUUUAUGAAAAAAAACAUGCAAUAUGUUAAAAAGGAUGAGAAGAUACAAGUAUGGUUACAUUACUAAACUAUGAUGUUUAACUAUGAAUGAAAGUCAGUGUUACAAAAAGGUACAUUAGGCAUGUGGGGACAAUACUAAAUUAUGAUGUUUAAUUAUGAAUGAAAGACUGUAUUACAAAAAAAAGUACGUUAUGCAUGUAGAAGAGAUGGUAAUAGAUCUUACAAUAAAUUAUAUUUAGAAAUAGUCUAAAGUCUAGAGUACACGCAGAGCAAGCCCGAUCACCAGUUCACCACCUCACGUGUACUCUAGACUAUCUCAUAACAUAAUUAAAAUGCAUUUCAGUUUAUUUAUUGUAAUAUUGGAAUUAGUUCAUUUGCUAAUUAGUUUUCUUAAUAAUAAAAUGAACUAAUUCCAAUAUUACAAUAAAUCAACUAUUCAUGGAAAUGCAUUUUAAUUAUGUUAGGGGAGAUGAUAUUAUUUAUAACAAUGUUUUGUUUUUAAAUUCUUUUUACUAUUAUCUUAUAAGUUAGUCUCCAAUUUGUUUUAUAUACCGUUUUGUAGUUUUAGUGGCACUAUCACCAGGAGCCUCCACCUCCCUUUGUCUUAUUUCAUUUCAACAACCAUCCAUUACUUUGAAAUAGUGAUCUUAUUCUCGACAUAUUUUUACACAAGAAGAAAUCUUAUAUAUAAUACACACAUGCAAAAAAAAAAUGAAAUCCAAUCCAAAAUGGAUCCUUUUAGGGAUAAAAACUACAUUUUGUCUCUCAUCUCUAUCAAGAAAGUACAUCUAAACUGUUAAUUAUAAGAAUGCUAUUUUUUAUUUUAUUAACUGUUAACAACAGUUACUCCCGAAAAAAACCUAGUAACAACAAAAUUAGGCCUAUAUUAUUGUUUUGUUCUCUUAACGUGGUUAUCUUAAUUCUUCAUGAAUCCUUAAAUGAUAUUUACAUUCUAUUAUCUACAAUGAGUAAUACAUUUAUACUUUACGAAUACCAAUAAUCUACAAUUUUAAUAUUAAAAAAUAGUUUGCUAGACUUUGAAAGAUCCACCGAUAAUAUGAUGGGUGCUAUGUCUAUUCCCAGGAGUUUAUCACAUUUACAUACAGAAUGUGAAGUUUUGAUACGAGCGAUGGAGUGUACGAAAACCCUACAUAUCUCAGAAGUGGUGUUUGCAACAGACUGCUCACAGUUGGUGAAGAUGGUGUCUACUCCAACUGAAUGGCCGACGUUUACUACUCACAUGGAGGAGUUUCUACGAUAUAAGGAAUAUUUUUCUAUCUUCACUAUUUAGCAUAUUCCAAGGGCACAAAACACAAUGGCAAAUAAGCUAGCACGAGAUGUUAGAACUCAGCCUUCUGCUAUGGUUUAUGUUAACUCCGUUCCUCUGAAAUGGCUCUCGACUCAGGAAUCUACUUAGUAUAGUUUGGUCUUUUCUGUUGAAAAAAAAAAAAAAGACUUUGAUAGAUUUCUUUUGGAAAUACGUUUUUAAUUAUAUUGCAUAAUAUAUUAUUGUUUUAAAAAUAUAUAAGCAUAUCAAUGUUUAAAUUUUCUACUUCUGGACCAACUAUAUAUAGACUGAAGUUUAUUUCUACUCUUGGCAUAAUUAUCUUUAGCUGUAGAAGAUGAAUAAUUCCAUAUCCAGCCUAUGAAACCAAGAUAAUUUUACGUAACGCAUACCAAUACGUUAAUUUGUUUUCAAUAGUGUUUAUUAUUCUCUUUAGUCUACUGGUCCAGCGUGUCUGUCUUUAGUCUAUCCGACCCAGGUUCGUAUAACGUCUUCCCCAUAUCAGACAGUAAUUUUAUUUUUUUUCUGUCUUUUUCUUUUAAAAAGUGGCGAAUUUUUUUUAUUUUUGGAUCCAGCCACUAAAUUUCUAAGACCGGCUCUGGAUGUACAUCUUUUCAUUUGAUUUUGAUGUGUCUUGAUUCAGAAAAAUAUCUAUGCAUCACACGAAAAUUCGAAGAAACAAUUUUUAGGUGGGUUUGUUAAACUCGAAUUAGCAAGGCAUAUAUAAAUAGCUAAAUAUAUAAUACAGUACGUAAUAAUAAAAGGGCUAAUGAUUAAAUGGUUGAUUAAAAUUAUAAAAAGAGGUCCACCACUUCUAGCAAUCAAAUGCUUCUUAUAUCUUUGUUUGCCAUGAAUAAUUUCAUUGAUGAUGCAAGUCUAUUUAUGCGGCGAACUGCAAAUUGUAAGAUGUUGUAUAUAUCGUCAUAAAUAGCAAUAGGUUUAAUAUUUGGAUAAUUGAAAUCAUUUUCGUAGUUUAUUACUCUAUAUGUAUCAUUUUAAAUGGUGUUUAAGAUUUUUACACAAUUAUUAAAAAAUUGAAAUUUUAUGCAAAUUAUCUUGGUUAUAGAAAAAUAACAUUAAAUAAAACAAGUUCAACCAACAAAAACUUUAAGUAUUUUAUAAUUGGUCAUAAAUUUCAAAUGACAUUAAAUUUUAUCUUAAAUAGUGAGAAUAUCAAUUAUUAUGAAAUAAUAUAAAUAUUUUUAAACACCAACAAAAACUUACAGUAUUUUAUAACUGGUCACAAAUUUCAAAUGACAUUAAAUUUUAUCUUAAAUAGUGAGAAUAUCAAUUAUUAUAAAAUAAU